UCUAGUGUGGCGUAGUGGUUUGAGCAUUGGACUCUAUGACUCUAGAGAACAGGGUUCGAAUCCCUGCUCAGCC